UCCGGAGGGGGCUAUCGCUGUUCGGAAUUACUGGGCGUAAAGCGCACGUAGGCGGAUCAGAAAGUCAGAGGUGAAAUCCCAGGGCUCAACCUUGGAACUGCCUUUGAAACUCCUGAUCUUGAGGUCGAGAGAGGUGAGUGGAAUUCCGAGUGUAGAGGUGAAAUUCGUAGAUAUUCGGAGGAACACCAGUGGCGAAGGCGGCUCACUGGCUCGAUACUGACGCUGAGGUGCGAAAGCGUGGGGAGCAAACAGG
rnacentral:rRNA from 1 species